AGAGUUUGAUCAUGGCUCAGAUUGAACGCUGGCGGCAGGCUUAACACAUGCAAGUCGAGCGGGGAAGGGUAGCUUGCUACCUGACCUAGCGGCGGACGGGUGAGUAAUGCUUAGGAAUCUGCCUAUUAGUGGGGGACAACAUUCCGAAAGGAAUGCUAAUACCGCAUACGCCCUACGGGGGAAAGCAGGGGAUCUUCGGACCUUGCGCUAAUAGAUGAGCCUAAGUCAGAUUAGCUAGUUGGUGGGGUAAAGGCCUACCAAGGCGACGAUCUGUAGCGGGUCUGAGAGGAUGAUCCGCCACACUGGGACUGAGACACGGCCCAGACUCCUACGGGAGGCAGCAGUGGGGAAUAUUGGACAAUGGGCGAAAGCCUGAUCCAGCCAUGCCGCGUGUGUGAAGAAGGCCUUUUGGUUGUAAAGCACUUUAAGCGAGGAGGAGGCUACUUAUAUUAAUACUCUAGGAUAGUGGACGUUACUCGCAGAAUAAGCACCGGCUAACUCUGUGCCAGCAGCCGCGGUGAUACAGAGGGUGCGAGCGUUAAUCGGAUUUACUGGGCGUAAAGCGUGCGUAGGCGGCUUUUUAAGUCGGAUGUGAAAUCCCUGAGCUUAACUUAGGAAUUGCAUUCGAUACUGGGAAGCUAGAGUAUGGGAGAGGAUGGUAGAAUUCCAGGUGUAGCGGUGAAAUGCGUAUAGAUCUGGAGGAAUACCGAUGGCGAAGCAGCCAUCUGGCCUAAUACUGACGCUGAGGUACGAAAGCAUGGGGAGCAAACAGGAUUAGAUACCCUGAUAGUCCAUGCCGUAAACGAUGUCUACUAGCCGUUGGGGCCUUUGAGGCUUUAGUGGCGCAGCUAACGCGAUAAGUAGACCGCCUGGGGAGUACGGUCGCAUGACUAAAACUCAAAUGAAUUGACGG
rnacentral:rRNA from 1 species